rnacentral:rRNA from 1 species
CAUGCAGUCGACGAUGACCCGCUUCGGUGGGGGAUUAGUGGCGAACGGGUGAGUAACACGUGGGCAAUCUGCCCUGCACUCUGGGACAAGCCCUGGAAACGGGGUCUAAUACCGGAUAUGAUCACCGGCCGCAUGGUCUGGUGAUGGAAAGCUCCGGCGGUGCAGGAUGAGCCCGCGGCCUAUCAGCUUGUUGGUGGGGUGAUGGCCUACCAAGGCGACGACGGGUAGCCGGCCUGAGAGGGCGACCGGCCACACUGGGACUGAGACACGGCCCAGACUCCUACGGGAGGCAGCAGUGGGGAAUAUUGCACAAUGGGCGAAAGCCUGAUGCAGCGACGCCGCGUGAGGGAUGACGGCCUUCGGGUUGUAAACCUCUUUCAGCAGGGAAGAAGCGAAAGUGACGGUACCUGCAGAAGAAGCGCCGGCUAACUACGUGCCAGCAGCCGCGGUAAUACGUAGGGCGCAAGCGUUGUCCGGAAUUAUUGGGCGUAAAGAGCUCGUAGGCGGCUUGUCGCGUCGGAUGUGAAAGCCCGGGGCUUAACCCCGGGUCUGCAUUCGAUACGGGCAGGCUAGAGUUCGGUAGGGGAGAUCGGAAUUCCUGGUGUAGCGGUGAAAUGCGCAGAUAUCAGGAGGAACACCGGUGGCGAAGGCGGAUCUCUGGGCCGAUACUGACGCUGAGGAGCGAAAGCGUGGGGAGCGAACAGGAUUAGAUACCCUGGUAGUCCACGCCGUAAACGUUGGGAACUAGGUGUGGGCGACAUUCCACGUUGUCCGUGCCGCAGCUAACGCAUUA